rnacentral:lncRNA from 1 species
GUACCAAGGAAGAUGAAAAGGACUCCAGUGGUUGAAUCUCUUUCCCUUCUCUGUACUAGGGACUACACAGAAGGUUUGUCCUGAGGACCUGGGUAUCGUGGUAUAUGCAUCAUUCACAUCAGCUCUACAGUUUGGAAAAACAAUCCGGGUGUGCCAAGAAGGACAUCCCACAUCAAGGACUUGUUUUGGAUCCCAGUUCAGGAAUCUUCAGGUUUCCAGUUGCUCAACUUCCACUGUCACUCCUCUGAAUCUUCCAUCCAAAAUGCCAAAGCUUUGGAAGCAGCCUUCAGGACAGUGAAAAAGAUGGAGAGCUCAGAGGUCAUCAGUCCUUCAGUGUCUUCUCACUGGUGAAUUCUACCAUGACUCUAACCUUGGUAAUACAAGCCCAGGGGAAACUAUGUGAAGAACAGGCCUGGAGUGAAUUCUCUGCUGAUGUCUUUUGACUUACAUGUUUGAAACUCAGCCAACGAAACUCUUGGCCUCUCCUCUCCCCAUUUCUGUCAUAAACUGAGUGCUCAAUAUUUUGUCAAACUAUAAUUUUUGUUAUUUUAAGCUUUCUACAAAUCAUUUUUAAAAGAUGCCCUGUACAGGAAUGGAGAAUAAUUUUUCUGUUUAUGUUUCCA